UACGUAGGGCGCAAGCGUUGUCCGGAAUUAUUGGGCGUAAAGAGCUCGUAGGCGGCUUGUCACGUCGGGUGUGAAAGCCCGGGGCUUAACCCCGGGUCUGCAUUCGAUACGGGCAGGCUAGAGUGUGGUAGGGGAGAUCGGAAUUCCUGGUGUAGCGGUGAAAUGCGCAGAUAUCAGGAGGAACACCGGUGGCGAAGGCGGGUCUCUGGGCC
rnacentral:rRNA from 1 species